rnacentral:rRNA from 1 species
GACGAACGCUGGCGGCGUGCCUAACACAUGCAAGUCGAACGGAAAGGCCCUGCUUUUGUGGGGUGCUCGAGUGGCGAACGGGUGAGUAACACGUGAGUAACCUGCCCUUGACUUUGGGAUAACUUCAGGAAACUGGGGCUAAUACCGGAUAGGAGCUCCUGCUGCAUGGUGGGGGUUGGAAAGUUUCGGCGGUUGGGGAUGGACUCGCGGCUUAUCAGCUUGUUGGCGGGGUAGUGGCUUACCAAGGCUUUGACGGGUAGCCGGCCUGAGAGGGUGACCAGCCACAUUGGGACUGAGAUACGGCCCAGACUCCUACGGGAGGCAGCAGUGGGGAAUAUUGCACAAUGGGCGGAAGCCUGAUGCAGCAACGCCGCGUGCGGGAUGACGGCCUUCGGGUUGUAAACCGCUUUCGCCUGUGACGAAGCGUGAGUGACGGUAAUGGGUAAAGAAGCACCGGCUAACUACGUG